rnacentral:lncRNA from 1 species
GUUAGCUCAAGGGAAAGAAGAAAGAUUGAUAUUGUAGCAUGGCCGACAACAUACAAAUGGUUGCCCAUUAGUUUAUCACGUUAGACCAUCAAUACAAACUCGACUAAAUGGCUAUAGAUGUUAUUUGACUGGUUGCAAUUCUAAUUGUUGUAACAUGAGCUGCCUUAGCAAUUGGAAAUCUUGCAAUUGAAAUUACAAUUGCAAAACUUAUUUUAUUUAAUUGCCUAUAGUUGACAAAUGCAAAUGUAUUUGCAAAUGUUCGAUCGUACAAUGAUGAAACAAGAGGUGGU